GUACCCCACAUAUCAGAUAUUAAACUGAUAAGAACAGAUACUACACUUGAUCUUAGCCAAAAGGCCGAGAAAGGUAUGAGUUCAAGGUGCUGCCCUGCCCCUCUAUUUGUAUCCCCAGCGCCCUCCGUCCCCUCCUCGCUCGGCGAGGUGGUACUAAACGAAACUAGCUGCUUGCUUGCCUCUCGCCGUCCCGCGCACGCGGAGCGCCUGCCUCUUGCGUGGGCCUGA
rnacentral:rRNA from 1 species